rnacentral:tRNA from 1 species
GUCGAAGUGGCGGAAUUGGUAGACGCGCAUGAUUCAGGUUCAUGUGGUUAACGCCUUGAGGGUUCGAGUCCCUUCUUCGACACCA